UGCAAACUGGCCUUUGAAUUAGCCAGUUUUUAUGGAUUGUCUUUUCCAGCACAGUGGGCUACAAAUGGCAUGGCGAGUGAGAGCUGGUUCUCAAACUUCAUGAGAAGGCACCAACACCUUUUAAUAAGAAGGCCUCAGUCCACAAGUUUAAGCGGAGCCACCAGUUUUAAUCCCACAAAUGUGGCAACAUUCUUUGAUAAGCUGGCCACAGACCGGUUGAGGCAUGGGUUCACAGCAAAAGACAUCUGGAACAUGGACGAAACAGGCCUAACAACAGUCCAGAAUCCUGGACAUGUUGUUGCAACCAAGGGAGAGAGAAGAGUUGGGAGUGUAACGUCUGCAGAGAGGGGGGUCCUUGUUACCAUGGCCUUGGCAGGAAAUGCCCUGGAUAACAUUACCCCCCGAAGAAGUAUCUCCCUCAUUUCAUCAGAGGUGGUCCAGAGGGCUCAAUUGGCACAGCCAAUGAUAGUGGCUGUAUGCAGGAGCAGGACUUUGUUGUCUUCCUCCAGCAUUUUGUUCAGUAUACCAGGGCAACAGAAGACAACAAAGUCUUGCUCUUGUUGGACAACCACUCCUCUCAUGUAUCAAUUGAAGCUGUCAACUUCUGUCGGGCGAAUGGCGUGGUUCUAUUGUCUUUCCUCCCACACUGCACACACCAACUGCAGCCUCUGGAUAGAACUGUUUAUGGGCCACUAAAGAAAAACCUAAACAGUGAGAUGGACAAGUGGCACCGGAGGCAUCCUGGAACAACGAUCACCAUCUAUGACCUGCCAGAGAUGGUCAACAACAUCUUGCUCCUGGCAGCGUCACCUCAGAAUGUCAAGAAGGGAUUUCACUGCACUGGGAUCUGGCUGUACAACAAGGACAUCUUCAGUGAAUUCAACUUUCUCCCAGCAUCAGUGACUGACAGACCCCCUAUGGCUCCAUCUCUCCCUGGGCCGUCCACUGCUGCACCUCCAUCUCUCCCUGGGCCGUCCGCUGCUGCACCUCCAUCUCUAUGCUGGCCAUUCACUGCUGCACUGUAUUAUGUCCCAUCCCUGGAUAUUCCUAUGCCAACAGUGACCCUUAACUCAGAUGGUUUUAAAGAAGUUACCCUCACUUUAUUUCCUCUAUCCUUACAAGAGGUAGAAAUCACCAGUGAACAGGAGCAUGUUCCAGAAUUCUUGCCUGAAACUGUAAGUCCAUACCCCAAAGCCAGUCCCCGAAAGGCCAGUGGUCAAAGGCAGAAGACAAGGGCCAGUGAUAUACUCACUGACACACCUGUAAAGAAUGCCCUUGAAGAGGAAAAAAAAGUGUUCCCAAGUGGUCAAAAGGAAAAUCAUAUUACAACAAAAAGCAAAAAAAAAUAAAAAAUACAGAGGACACUCAAUGUCUUGUCGGUGAUUAAUGGUUUUCAACAUCCCGGCCAGGGGAACAAUGGAUCUCUUGCUCCAUCUGUGGCAUGUGGUCGCAUGUAGGAUGCACUGAUGGAGGCCUAAACUACAUUUGCCACAACUGUAAGUGACACAGGUG
rnacentral:lncRNA from 1 species